GGGGGUGACCUGGCUUCGACGUGGGUUGCAAAGCUCGAGGAGCAUGCCGAGGUGCGGAAGACCUCGUUAAACCGCCGCAAAAAAAUAUACGCCAACGACGACGUAUACUCCCUGGCCGCUUAACCCGGCUGGGCUCCUGACCGGUUCUUGUCUGUAAGUCCGGAGGCCGCAAGGCCAUACAGGGGUCAUCCAUUACAGAAUCGCCGAGGACUUUGCCCGAAAGUCCGAGGCUAAAACCUUAGGGCUCGCCGAGUUGCAUCCUGUCCGUCGGAGGCUGCGCGGUUAAAACCAAAUGACGAUACUAAGCAUGUAGCGCCAACAGCGGAGGGCUUGCGGACGGGGGUUCAACUCCCCCCACCUCCACCA
rnacentral:tmRNA from 1 species